AUUGAACGCUGGCGGCAGGCUUAACACAUGCAAGUCGAGCGGAGAGAGGUAGCUUGCUACUGAUCUUAGCGGCGGACGGGUGAGUAAUGCUUAGGAAUCUGCCUAUUAGUGGGGGACAACAUUUCGAAAGGAAUGCUAAUACCGCAUACGUCCUACGGGAGAAAGCAGGGGAUCUUCGGACCUUGCGCUAAUAGAUGAGCCUAAGUCGGAUUAGCUAGUUGGUGGGGUAAAGGCCUACCAAGGCGACGAUCUGUAGCGGGUCUGAGAGGAUGAUCCGCCACACUGGGACUGAGACACGGCCCAGACUCCUACGGGAGGCAGCAGUGGGGAAUAUUGGACAAUGGGCGGAAGCCUGAUCCAGCCAUGCCGCGUGUGAAGAAGGCCUUAUGGUUGUAAAGCACUUUAAGCGAGGAGGAGGCUACUUUAGUUAAUACCUAGAGAUAGUGGACGUUACUCGCAGAAUAAGCACCGGCUAACUCUGUGCCAGCAGCCGCGGUAACAC
rnacentral:rRNA from 1 species